AGCGAACGCUGGCGGCAGGCCUAACACAUGCAAGUCGAACGAAGUCUUCGGACUUAGUGGCGGACGGGUGAGUAACACGUGGGAACGUACCUUUUGGUUCGGAACAACUCAGGGAAACUUGAGCUAAUACCGGAUGAGCCCUUAGGGGGAAAGAUUUAUCGCCGAAAGAGCGGCCCGCGUUAGAUUAGCUAGUUGGUGAGGUAAAGGCUCACCAAGGCUACGAUCUAUAGCUGGUCUGAGAGGAUGAUCAGCCACACUGGGACUGAGACACGGCCCAGACUCCUACGGGAGGCAGCAGUGGGGAAUCUUGCGCAAUGGGCGAAAGCUUGACGAAGCCAUGCCGCGUGAAUGAUGAAGGUCUUAGGAUUGUAAAAUUCUUUUACCAGGGACGAUAAUGACGGUACCUGGAGAAAAAGCCCCGGCUAACUUCAUGCCAGCAGCCGCCGUAAAAC
rnacentral:rRNA from 1 species